rnacentral:tRNA from 1 species
GGCGGAUGUAGCCAAGUGGAAAGGCGGUA